UACGUAGGGCGCAAGCGUUGUCCGGAAUUAUUGGGCGUAAAGAGCUCGUAGGCGGUCUGUCGCGUCUGCCGUGAAAACCCGAGGCUUAACCUCGUGGCUUGCGGUGGAUACGGGCAGACUAGAGGUAGGUAGGGGAGAAUGGAAUUCCCGGUGUAGCGGUGAAAUGCGCAGAUAUCUGGAGGAACACCGGUGGCGAAGGCGGCAUCCUGGACCGAAAUUGACGCUGAGGCGCGAAAGCCAGGGGAGCAAACGGG
rnacentral:rRNA from 1 species